AUACGUAGGUGGCAAGCGUUGUCCGGAAUUAUUGGGCGUAAAGCGCAUGUAGGCGGUUUGGUAAGUCGGUCGUGAAAAUGCGGUGCUUAACGCCGUAUGGCGAUUGAAACUGCUGAACUUGAGUGCAGGAGAGGAAAGGGGAACUCCCAGUGUAGCGGUGAAAUGCGUAGAUAUUGGGAAGAACACCGGUGGCGAAGGCGCCUUUCUGGACUGUGUCUGACGCUCAGAUGCGAAAGCCAGGGUAGCGAACGGGAUUAGAUACCCCGGUAGUCCUGGCCGUAAACGAUGGGUACUAGGUGUGGGAGGUAUCGACUCCUUCCGUGCCGGAGUUAACGCAAUAAGUACCCUGCCUGGGGAGUACGGCCGCAAGGCUUAAACUCAAAUGAAUUGACGGGG
rnacentral:rRNA from 1 species